UAACGUUAACAUGUAGCGUUAAGAGAUUAUGCUACAAUUGUACUAUUGGCCGUUACAUUUGCUAGUUAAGACUACAAAUCUCAGUAAACCUCCAUGCAGCUUCCCGGAGUCAAUUCGGUAUAAUUUGGGUAAUUUAGGGCUCGGCUUGUUGUAAAGAUGCCACUCCCGGAACCAUCCUUUGUCCGUAACAACUUCCACAACUCCUUCUCCAAUGGAGAGUGGACGCCAGCCACUUACAGGGGAUUUCUGGGGUGAGAAGAGAAAAGACCGAGCAGCAGACACUGUUUAGGGGACACACUGCUGGUGGACAGAGUUCCAAUGCCCUCGACCUUGAUGCUGACACAAUACUCUCUCCCCCAGCGGAGAGAACUGAAAGACUUUGUCUUAUCCUCCCCCACGUCGUCUUCCAGGUAGAUGAUGUAGGUGAGCCCAUAAGGAAAGAGUUUUUUCAGAAUGGGUUUUUGGUGAACAUAAACUGUCAGAGUGCUGGAAGUAGCCCACAAUGUGAUGGAGGGAGGCUGCAAUACACCUGCAGGAACAAAGAGGUGUAAGAAAACAAUCUUAUAGCGUGCCUAAAUAACUUAACCAGCCUAAAUACAAUGUUUUAACUUUGGUACACUGUUGUACGAACCAAACUGACAAUUAUGCUUACUUUCAUUUGGGAGAAAUUUCUUCCUGGUCCACACAGAGACAUCAUCUCCUGCAACCAGCUGAACUCUGACCUUGUAGGCUGUGCGAUAGUCAUAUACAAGACUGCUAAGGUCACAGUAGGUCUUAUUGAUCCCUGUGCAGCUGGCCACUAUGGCCCAUUCAUCAUUACCUAAGUACCUAAGGACAGAAAACAUAAUAUGAUAAAGGAAUGAGUGAUUGAUA